rfam:Lingula anatina scaffold651, whole genome shotgun sequence.
UCAUCAGGUAGAGUUAAUUCUUACCUGUGGACCAAUUAGGUCCUCAGACUGAAUGAUGAGAAUGAGUGAUGAUUCUUAUGAAUUAUACUCAGCAGGCACAUUGGGACAUGCAACACCCAAUGUGCCUAGAUCUGAC